rnacentral:rRNA from 1 species
UACGUAGGGGGCAAGCGUUGUCCGGAUUUAUUGGGCGUAAAGAGCGUGUAGGCGGCCAUGUAGGUCCGUUGUGAAAACUCGAGGCUCAACCUCGAGACGCCGAUGGAAACCAUGUGGCUAGAGUCCGGAAGAGGAGAGUGGAAUUCCUGGUGUAGCGGUGAAAUGCGCAGAUAUCAGGAAGAACACCCGCGGCUAAGGCGGCUCUCUAGUACGGUACUGACGCUGAGACGCGAAAGCGUGGGGAGCGAACAGG